ensembl:lncRNA
CAGAACUGUACACAAAAUGUCUUAAGGACCCAGUAACCACAAUGAUGUGAUCACUCACCUAGAGCCAGACAUUCUGGAGUGUGAAGUCAAGUGGGUCUUGGGAAGCAUUACUAUAAACAAAGCUGGAGGUGAUGGAAUUCCAGCUGACCUAUUUCAAAUCCUAAAAGAUGAUGCUGUGAAAGUGCUGCACUCAAUAUGACAGCAAAUCUGGAAAGCUCAGCAGUGGCCACAGGACUGGAAAGGUAAGUUUUCAUUCCAAUCGCAAAGAAGGGCAAUGCCAAAGAACGUUCAGAUUUCUGUACAAUUGCACAUUUUAUAUGUUAGCAAGAUUAUGCUCAAAAUACUUCAAGCUAGGCUUCAGCAGUACGGUGAGCCUAGAAAUUCCAGACGUACAAGCUGGAUUUAGAAAACACGGGAACCAGAGAUCAAAUUGCCAACAUCCGCUGGAUCAUUGAAAAAGCAAGGGAAUUCCAAGAAAAAUCUACUACUACUAAGCUAAAGCCUUUGACUGUGUUGAUCACAAUAAACUGGAAAAUUCUUCAAGCGAUGGGAAUACCACACCACCUUAACUGUCUCCUGAGAAACCUGUAUGCAGGACAAAAAGCAACAAUUAGAACCAGACGUGGAACAACAGACUGCUUCAAAAUUGGGAAAGGAAUACAUCAAGGCUGUAUAUUGUCACCCUGCUUAUUUAACUUCUAUGCAGAGUACAUCAUGAGAAAUGCUGGGCUGGAUGAAUCACAAGCUGGAAGGAAUCAAGAUUGCCAGGAGCAGUAUCAACAACCUCAGAUAUGCAGAUGAUACCGUUUAAUGGCAGAACAUGAAGAGGAACUAAAGAGCCUCUUGAUGAGGGUGAAAAGGGAGAGUGAAAAAGCUGGCUUAACAUUCAAAAAAUGGUCAUGGCAUCCAGUCCCAUCACUUCGUGGCAAACAGAAGGGGAAACAGUGGAAACUAUGACAUUUUAUUUUCGUGGGCUCCAGAAUCACUGCAGACAGUGACUGCAUUCAUGAAAUUAAGACGCUUGUUCUUUGGAAUAAAAGCUAUGACAAACCUAGACAGCAUAUUAAAAGCAGAGACACCACUUUGCUGACAAAGGUUCAUCUAGUCAAAGCUAUGGUUUUUCCAGUAGUCACAUAAGGAUGUGAGAGUUGGACCAUAAAGAAGGCUAAACACCGAAGAAAUGAUGCUUUUGAAUUGUGGUGCUGGAGAAGACUCUUCAGAGUCUCUUGGACAACAAGGAGAUCAAACCAGGCGAUCCUAAAGGAAAUCAACCCUGAAUAUUCAUUGAAAGGACUGAUGCUAAAGCUGAAGCUCCAAUACUCUGGCUACCUGGUGUGAAGAGCGGACUCAUUGGAAAAGACCCUGAUUUGGGGGAAGAUUGAGGGCAAGAGGAGAAGGGGGCGACUGAGGAUGAGACGGUUGGAUGGCAUCACCGAUUCAAUGGACAGUUUGAGCAAAUUCAGGGAGAUAGGGAGUUCCUCAUGCAAAAUCAUCAACUAUCACAACAAAGCACGAGCCCUAGUACUGGCUGCAACUCACCUGGUCCCGGCCCUCGGCCAUCACUCUCCAAUGGCUUUUAGGGUGUCCAACGUUCACACCCAUCCGGGAGCCUGCCUUCUCUGAGGCCACCAACGGUUGCGGGACACGCAACGCCCCCCCCGCCUCCCCACAACGCCACCCCCCCCCCCCCCAGCCUCCCCGCAACGCUACCCUCUCCCAGUCUCGAGGCAGAUGUGCAACUGCCCGUGCAUGGCGCCGACGCCUGGCGUGUGCGUGACGCUGACGUCCAGCGCUUGCUCUACGCCAUGCGUAUGCGCCUUAGAACAUCACGAGCCCCGCGUCUUGCCCGAGUCGGAUGUGCUGGCGUCAGUGUGUCAGGCAGAGGCGAGGCCGUCAAACCCGGCUGUGUGAGGCCCGCCCUGGGCCCACCCUGGGGACUGAGGCCUCGAGGGUCCCACACCCUAGGGCUCGUGGAAGGCGUUGGAAUCCAAGCAGAGAAGCAGGGAUUUUUUUGUUUGUUUUCCGCCGGAGUCUGCGUGUUCAGCCUCGACACCAGUGAAACUUUUUCCCCGGUUGUUUCCAGCUCUUGUGGCUUACAGAAAGCUUUUUUGUAUGAAUGUCCUUAAUGGUGUGGUGCAUUUACAUUUGCAAGACCGACGACCCACAAGGGAAGUUGCAUGCGUUAAGUGUCUUCUCCAGGUAAUUUCCCCUGAAGGCCCAGCCCUUUGUAGGCCUCUCACAACCUGAGGCCUCUUGUCUUUCGCAGCUUCACAGCUUUUAUUUUUUCUGCUGGUUUAUCUGUGUUGGUGGUGUAGUUGUUCAGUCGUGUCCGAACCGCCUCUUGCGACCCCAUGGACUGUAGCCUGCAAGGCUCCUCUGUCCAUGGGAUUUAUCUGUGCUAGGCUUGGUUUAUGGUAUUUCUUGAAAGGUUUUGGGGUUUCCUCUCACGUUUAAGAGAAUUCUUCCCCCUCUACCCAAUUCUCUUGUAUUUUGUCGGACUGUUCUUUUCUGUGUCCCCACUCCGUGUGGGAAGUAUUUUAGUAUCAGCAGUAAGGCAGGAGUCAAAUUUUGGUUUUGGUUUUUGCAGAUGGAAAGUCACUUAUGCCAGCCCCAUUAUUUAUUUUUUUAAACUUAAUUUGGGCUGUGCUGGAUCUUUGCUGAGGCGCAGGCCUCUUGGUUGCUGCAGGCAAGCGUUCUUCAGUUGUGGGGGUGGGGACUUCUCUGUAUGGCAGCGGUGCGCCGGCCUCUCACUGUGUCCCAGUCUCAUUUAUUAAUGACCCACGUUGGCCUGUAUUUAUUUUUCACUCUAUUUAGUUUUCAACUUGUUGGGCUUGAGGUGAUGCUUGCAUGUAUCGGUGGAGACAUCAUGUUACCUGCUGGACAGGUGAUUCUGAUGCGAAGGGUGCGGUUCUAGGUGAAACAAACAUUGGGGGCAUCAUCAGCAUAUAGAUGGAUCAAUCUUCCUUGCUGUUUUUCUUAUUAAAAUAUUUUCCCAAACUGUUCUUAGAAUUUCUUCUCACAUGAAAUUUAAAAUCAUGAUAGUCCAACUUUCUCCCAUUCCUGCGCACCCCCAACCAAGUUCCACUGGGAUUUAAAUUUAAAUUGUGCUAAAUUUAGAUGUAAGUUAAGGGGAGGGUUGAUAUUUUUAUGAUUUUAAAUUUCCCUAGAUGAUAUGAAAUGGUUUUCCAUUUGUUUGAAUCCUUUACAUGUUCUAAUAAGAUUUUACUAUUUCUUCAUAUGGGUUCUGUAACUUUCUCAUUUUAUUCCUAUAUAAUCACUAUUGUGAAUGCAAUUUUCUUCCCCAUUUAUAUUCCUAGUUAUUAAUAUGUAAAAAGCAGAUUGUUUAACAUAAUUUAUUUUCUAUCUUAUGAACUCUGGUAAUUUUAAAAAUAA